rnacentral:rRNA from 1 species
UACAGAGGGUGCGAGCGUUGUUCGGAAUUAUUGGGCGUAAAGCGCAUGUAGGCGGCUUUGCAAGUCGCGUGUGAAAGCUCCAGGCUCAACCUGGAAAGUGCGCGCGAAACUGUGAGGCUUGAGUGCCGUAGAGGGUGGCGGAAUUCCCGGUGUAGAGGUGAAAUUCGUAGAGAUCAGGAGGAACACCUGUGGUGUAGACAGCUUACUGGACGAUAACUGACGCUGAGGCACGAAAGCGUGGGUAGCAAACAGG